AUAUGUUGCUAAUCAGUUGAUUUCAAUUCAAAGGGACUAGAUUUUCUUAACUUGCCCUUUUUCAUUUGAUUAGCAGAUACAGAAAUAUUUUACCUUACUUGAUACAUUUUGUUUUGAUGGCAUUAUCUGAAAAAUAAUUUUUGAAAGCAGUGUCUGUCUGGUUUUAGGGUCACAGCCCUCUCACCCUGACCGCAGGGUGAAAGGUCAGACGGCCUCUGCGUGCGGAGGCCGCUUCACUCCCACCAACAUCACGAUAAACUUCAUGAAGGUAUCCGUCCACCUUGAGCACUUCCGGGUCAGUGAGGCCGGAUCUCAGCUCGCAGGCUUCUGGGAAUUGUCAGCUGACGUCUGAAUGGAUGUUGCCGUGGCGACUGGUGUAAAGAUAACAGGAGGUAAUGAGAUAUUAACCCAAGUGAGGGAGAAGCUGCGGGUGUUUGCAGGACUGGCUGAAGGGCAGAAUUUGAGUAUGGAUGACCCCGGCCUGAUCGGUAUUUAUUCGGCACUUCUAACCACCAGCACGACCCUCUGAGAUGAGGUGGAUUGCAUUGACUCGGAAUGCCAGAUCUUCGCACUAGAGGCUCCGCUCUCUCCACCUUCCCUGGGGUUCGGCACUCGAGUGGAUCAGCCGGAGGGUCAGAGGUUCUCAGGCUUCACGUGAAAGACAUCGGAGAGAGGACAGACCAUGCUUCUGCCGGGCGGGGCCAGGUUGGCCCGAAAAAUCUGUGCUUCAUCUCAGAUUUUUUAAGAGGAGCCACAAGUGAACAAAGAGUAGUCCUCCAGUUAGAAGCAGAUAAACCA
rnacentral:lncRNA from 1 species